UACGAAGGGGGCUAGCGUUGCUCGGAAUCACUGGGCGUAAAGGGCGCGUAGGCGGCCAUUCAAGUCGGAGGUGAAAGCCCAGGGCUCAACCCUGGAAUUGCCUUCGAUACUGUUUGGCUAGAGACCGGAAGAGGUAAGUGGAACUGCGAGUGUAGAGGUGAAGUUCGUAGAUAUUCGCAAGAACACCAGUGGCGAAGGCGGCUCACUGGCCCGGUACUGACGCUGAGGUGCGAAAGCGUGGGGAGCAAACAGG
rnacentral:rRNA from 1 species